UACAGAGGGUGCAAGCGUUAAUCGGAAUUACUGGGCGUAAAGCGUGCGUAGACGGUUAUGUAAGUCAGAUGUGAAAGCCCCGGGCUCAACCUGGGAAUUGCAUUUGAGACUGAAUAGCUAGGGUGCGGUAGAGGGAAGCGGAAUUUCCGGUGUAGCGGUGAAAUGCGUAGAUAUCGGAAGGAACAUCAGUGGCGAAAGCGGCUUCCUGGACCAGCACCGACGUUCAGGCACGAAAGCGUGGGGAGCAAACAGG
rnacentral:rRNA from 1 species